rnacentral:rRNA from 1 species
UGGGGAAUAUUGCACAAUGGGGGAAACCCUGAUGCAGCCAUGCCGCGUGUGUGAAGAAGGCCUUCGGGUUGUAAAGCACUUUCAGUAGGGAGGAAAGGUUGACGGUUAAUACCCGUUAGCUGUGACGUUACCUACAGAAGAAGGACCGGCUAACUCCGUGCCAGCAGCCGCGGUAAUACGGAGGGUCCGAGCGUUAAUCGGAAUUACUGGGCGUAAAGCGUGCGCAGGCGGUUUGUUAAGCGAGAUGUGAAAGCCCCGGGCUCAACCUGGGAAUUGCAUUUUGAACUGGCAAACUAGAGUCUUGUAGAGGGGGGUAGAAUUUCAGGUGUAGCGGUGAAAUGCGUAGAGAUCUGAAGGAAUACCGGUGGCGAAGGCGGCCCCCUGGACAAAGACUGACGCUCAUGCACGAAAGCGUGGGGAGCAAACAGGAUUAGAUACCCUGGUAGUCCACGCCGUAAACGAUGUCUACUCGGAGUUUGGUGUCUUGAAC